UAGCUUUCUUGAUAAUUCAACAUAUAAAUUUUUCGUUUCAAUUAGACUUCAAUGUUAUAAUUUUUUGUCUUUUUAGUGUAGGACAAUCAUGCGCGUGUGUGUCAUACCUGGAUGCACAGCAAAUGCAAUACGUUUUUUUCGAUUUCCAAAUAAGGAUGACAAACGUUUGCGCAUUUGGUUGUCUUUGGCAGGGAACGAGGAUUUAUUAAAACUUGGAAUUGAUGAGAUAGGAAGAAGAACAAUUUGUCAAGUUCAUUUCGAAGACAAAUAUUUCCUCCCCAAGAAAUUGAGUACUAGUGCUAUUCCAACAAGGUAUUUGCCAGAAAGUAUCGAUGUAUCUAGUCUCUUUUUUGAAGAAAAAUCUCCCCCCACUGAACAAAUUAUCAACUUUGAUCCGUAAGACUGGCCCACAUCUGCGGAAGUUUCCGAAAAAGACAAAAUCCCAGGAAGCACUUGAUGCAGAUGUGUUUUCAAAGAAGCUGCAAAUUCCGAAUGAAUCCCCAACCAAUGGAAGCAAAAAUUGUGUGGGGAUGAUUUCGGAAAGCCUCAACAUAAUGAAGGAAAUGCACAUCCAUCAGCUGCUGUCAAGAGGAAAUCCAUAGAAGAGCAAGGACUCUCUGGACCAAGCAGGGGUAGACCUGAUAAAAAACACAGAAAAAUUAGAAAACGUGGCAUAUUACGCAAGGGAAGAGGUAAAAUCAAUGCUCAUGGCCUCUAUAUUGAAAAAAUCAUAAAUUCUCAGAUGCUUCAUAUGAAAGCUUCUGCAGAGAAAAACAAAUGUAUUAUGGAGGAGCCGACGAUAAAAAUUCGGUCUGCUUUACACUAUUUUAUGAGAAAUGGAAGAGGCCCUGUGCGAUUGACCAUAUCGAGCACAGGAAACAAAAUUUUUUCGCGUGAAUUUGGUGUACCUGCGUAUAUCACAUUGAAUUUUGUUUAUGACAUGAAUAUUGACUGGGUCUA